rnacentral:ncRNA from 1 species
UUGAGCCGUAUGUUUUGAAAGAAACAAGUACGGUUCUUAGGGGGGAAAGGAGUUGAAAGACUCCCGACCUACUCGAC